AACAUAAAAUUUCAUUCAAAUAUUCAUUAACCCCAUACAAUGAUACAUGACCCCUAUAUAUAGGUCAUGAGAUACAAAUAAAUAAAAAGCACAACAAUUGACUAAAUCGCCCUCGGGGCCCCAACAUGACUCACUCACACACAAGGGUAAAACAGGAAUACUGAAAACUGAAAAUGCAUGAAUAACUAAAAAUAUGAGCUCUGAAUCGUGGCCAUCGAUCGGCGAUGCUUCCGGCGAUACACGUGUCUGAACCGUUGAUCGAUGACCUCAUCAUUUCUAGUUCAAAAAUUAAAAAAAGUUGUUUUAAGAAGCAGAAAGUCGUCCCAAACAAAGCCUAAGACUCUUGAUUUGGGAGCACGCUUUUCGUAGGCAUUUAUUCCAUAUGUUGUGAACUUCAUUUCCCAUCAUGCUAGUGGUAUGCAUUGUAGUUCCUUCUGGAAUUUUUGUAUUUGAUGUAAAAAACAAGAUGCCUUCUUUUUUAUAUGGUUAACUUUGUUCAGAACCUUCUCUUAGACCAAACUACAUGAAUUUUAUCAUAGUUUUAGUUUUAGUUUUUUUUUUUUCUCUCUUUUUUCUGGCAAUGGACCUUUUUAACUAUAGUUGUGCUCACAUACCUUAUUCUGCAGAUUAAGAAGCGUCAUACUCCUCUUUUGAAGGUGAAGUCUUAUGCUGAUAAUUUCAAGUGGAAGGGCUUUCCACAAUCCGAGGAAGCUUAAGUUUUUUUACUUUGUGCCUGUGCAAUAGCUGCCUGCUGCUGCUUUUUUUUUUAUUUUUUUUAAUUUACGCAUGUUUGGAUUUCUAAUUUGCAAGCUCUUGAAAAUUGAAAAUGAGAGAUUUUUUUUUUUCAGUAUUAUUUUACAAAUCAUUGUUAUAUUUA